CAUGUGGCGUGUUUUAAGAUUUCGGUUACUAAUUUCGCGUUCCUUUUGCGUUAAAGCAGAUAAUUGCGUUAAAUCGGAGGCGAGAAAAAAUCCCGGCACACGCAUAAGAGAGGGAAAAGCAGAAAUAAUAUUAACUCAAGAUGCAUUCUAUAAUCCUGUGCAGGAGUUCAAUAGGGAUUUAAGUGUUGCCGUUAUCAAAGAAUUUAUUAAGAAUUAUGUACCAAAAAAUAUUAAAUGUUUAAAUAAUGAUGUUGCAGAUGGAGGCAGUAAGGGCAGAAUUCAUAUUUUAGAAGCUCUGGCAGCUUCUGGAUUGCGAUCCAUCAGAUAUGCUAAAGAGAUUCCGGGAGUCAGUACCGUGACAGCAAAUGAUAGAUCCGAAACUGCGGUGGAAGAUAUUAAACAAAAUAUUAAACUGAAUGAAGUGGAUCAUACUGUCAUACCAAAUUGUGAAGAUGCUGUGCUAUUGAUGUAUAAGCAUAGAAGUUUCCAAAAUCAGUUUCAUGUAGUCGAUUUGGAUCCUUAUGGGAGUCCUUCGUCUUUUCUUGAUGCUGCUGUGCAGUGCAUUUCUGACAAAGGUCUGCUGUUGGUGACUUGUACGGAUACAGCAAAUUUGUGUGGACGCUUCAGAAGAAAGUGUCAUGCCAUUUACGGAUCGCUCUCACUUCGAAUGUCGAGCUGCCACGAGAUGGCACUAAGAAUAAUUCUUCGGAGUAUCGAACUUCAUGCCAAUCGCUAUGGUCGUCACAUAAUGCCACUUGUCUCCGUGCAUGCAGAUUUCUACAUUAGGGUAUUCGUAAAAGUCUGCAAGAGCCCUAACAAUGCAAAUAAAAGCAUAGAAAAAUUGGCAAUGGUUUAUAAUUGUACUGGUUGUGGAACCUUUCAUUUGCAACAUUUGUCAGAGACCAUGGAUGGAGAGGAAAUUCCUGUGUUGCCGCAACCACCUCCAGCAUUGUGUGAGCAUUGUGGAUGCAAGUUUCAGUUGGCGGGACCAAUUUGGACAGAUAAUCUCCACGAUAAAGAUUUUGUUGGUGAACUUUUGAAGACCGUGAAAAGUGAAAAGAAUAAUUACGGCACAACCGAAAGAAUGAUAGGCAUUCUUUCAGUCAUUUCCGAGGAACUAGAUAAUUGUCCUCUGUAUUAUCGUUUACCACAUUUGCUAUCUGUCAUUGCCUCCUCUCAGCCAAGUCUCUUCACAUUCAGAUGCAUUUUCUCAGGUCUGCAUUACUAAAUGCCGGCUACCGAGCUUCUCUAUCUCACACCUGUAGAGAUUCACUAAAGACGGAUGCCCCGAGCGAGGUCAUCUGGGACGUGGUGAGAAGUUGGGCAAAACUAAACCCAGUUAAGAGAGAUAUAACUGG
rnacentral:misc_RNA from 1 species